rnacentral:rRNA from 1 species
GAGUUUGAUCAUGGCUCAGAUUGAACGCUGGCGGCAUGCCUUACACAUGCAAGUCGAACGGCAGCACGGGAGCUUGCUCCUGGUGGCGAGUGGCGAACGGGUGAGUAAUGCAUCGGAACGUAUCCUGGAGUGGGGGAUAACGUAGCGAAAGUUACGCUAAUACCGCAUAUUCUGUGAGCAGGAAAGCGGGGGACCUUCGGGCCUCGCGCUCUUGGAGCGGCCGAUGUCGGAUUAGCUAGUUGGUGAGGUAAAGGCUCACCAAGGCGACGAUCCGUAGCAGGUCUGAGAGGAUGAUCUGCCACACUGGAACUGAGACACGGUCCAGACUCCUACGGGAGGCAGCAGUGGGGAAUUUUGGACAAUGGGGGCAACCCUGAUCCAGCCAUGCCGCGUGAGUGA